rnacentral:rRNA from 1 species
CGGUUUCUUAAGUCUGAUGUGAAAGCCCCCGGCUCAACCGGGGAGGGUCAUUGGAAACUGGGGAACUUGAGUGCAGAAGAGGAGAGUGGAAUUCCACGUGUAGCGGUGAAAUGCGUAGAGAUGUGGAGGAACACCAGUGGCGAAGGCGACUCUCUGGUCUGUAACUGACGCUGAGGCGCGAAAGCGUGGGGAGCGAACAGGAUUAGAUACCCUGGUAGUCCACGCCGUAAACGAUGAGUGCUAAGUGUUAGAGGGUUUCCGCCCUUUAGUGCUGCAGCAAACGCAUUAAGCACUCCGCCUGGGGAGUACGGUCGCAAGACUGAAACUCAAAGGAAUUGACGGGGGCCCGCACAAGCGGUGGAGCAUGUGGUUUAAUUCGAAGCAACGCGAAGAACCUUACCAGGUCUUGACAUCCUCUGACAACCCUAGAGAUAGGGCUUCCCCUUCGGGGGCAGAGUGACAGGUGGUGCAUGGUUGUCGUCAGCUCGUGUCGUGAGAUGUUGGGUUAAGUCCCGCAACGAGCGCAACCCUUGAUCUUAGUUGCCAGCAUUCAGUUGGGCACUCUAAGGUGACUGCCGGUGACAAACCGGAGGAAGGUGGGGAUGACGUCAAAUCAUCAUGCCCCUUAUGACCUGGGCUACACACGUGCUACAAUGGGCAGAACAAAGGGCAGCGAAGCCGCGAGGCUAAGCCAAUCCCACAAAUCUGUUCUCAGUUCGGAUCGCAGUCUGCAACUCGACUGCGUGAAGCUGGAAUCGCUAGUAAUCGCGGAUCACAUGCGCGGGGGG